UGGGGAAUAUUGCGCAAUGGGGGGAACCCUGACGCAGCCAUGCCGCGUGAAUGAAGAAGGCCUUAGGGUUGUAAAGUUCUUUCGGUAUUGAGGAAGGUUGAUGUGUUAAUAGCACAUCAAAUUGACGUUAAAUACAGAAGAAGCACCGGCUAACUCCGUGCCAGCAGCCGCGGUAAUACGGAGGGUGCGAGCGUUAAUCGGAAUAACUGGGCGUAAAGGGCACGCAGGCGGUUAUUUAAGUGAGGUGUGAAAGCCCCGGGCUUAACCUGGGAAUUGCAUUUCAGACUGGGUAACUAGAGUACUUUAAGGAGGGGUAGAAUUCCACGUGUAGCGGUGAAAUGCGUAGAGAUGUGGAGGAAUACCGAAGGCGAAGGCAGCCCCUUGGGAAUGUACUGACGCUCAUGUGCGAAAGCGUGGGGAGCAAACAGGAUUAGAUACCCUGGUAGUCCACGCUGUAAACGCUGUCGAUUUGGGGGUUGGGGUUUAACUCUGACGCCCGUAGCUAACGUGAUAAAUCGACCGCCUGGGGAGUACGGCCGCAAGGUUA
rnacentral:rRNA from 1 species